GUCGGGGUGGCGCAGUCCGGUAGCGCGCUUGGCUCAUACCCAAGAGGCCGGUGGUUCAAAUCCACCCCCCGCAACCA
rnacentral:tRNA from 1 species